rnacentral:rRNA from 1 species
AACGAACGCUGGCGGCAUGCCUAACACAUGCAAGUCGAACGCUACCUUCGGGUCUAGUGUCGCACGGUGGCUUGACGCGUGGGAACCUGCCCUUAGGUUCGGAAUCUCUCAGCGAGAGGGGAGCUAAUACCGGGUAAUGUCUUCCGACCAAAGAUUUUACGUCUUUGGAUGUGCCCGAGUUGGAUUAGAUGGUUGGUAUGGUAAAAGCCUACCAAGGCGAGAAUCCAUAGAUGGUCUGAGAGGCUGAGCAGCGACACUGGCGCUGGGACACGGCCCAGAAUCUUACGGGAGGGAGCAGUGGGUAAUAGUGGAACAUGGGCGAAAGCCUGAUGCAGCUAGGCCGCGUGAGUGAUGAAGGCCGUAGAGUUGGAAAGCUCGUUUACCCGGGAUGAUAAUGACAGUACCGGGAGAAUAAGCGCCGGCUAACUCCGUG